UCUGGCUUCGCGGCCGGCUGAAUAUUUUUUUCACCCAUGUCUUUUGCGCACUUGUUGUUUCCUGGGCGGGUUCGCCCGCCACCAGGACCAAACCAUAAACCUUUUUUUUUAUGCAGUUGCAAUCAGCGUCAGUAAAAACAAUGUAAUUAAUUACAACUUUCAACAACGGAUCUCUUGGUUCUGGCAUCGAUGAAGAACGCAGCGAAAUGCGAUACGUAGUGUGAAUUGCAGAAUUCAGUGAAUCAUCGAAUCUUUGAACGCACAUUGCGCCCUUUGGUAUUCCAAAGGGCAUGCCUGUUCGAGCGUCAUUUGUACCUUCAAGCUUUGCUUGGUGUUGGGCGUUUUUGUCUCCCUCUUUCUGGGAGACUCGCCUUAAAACGAUUGGCAGCCGGCCUACUGGUUUCGGAGCGCAGCACAUAAUUUGCGCUUUGUAUCAGGAGAAAAGGACGGUAAUCCAUCAAGACUCUACAUUUUUAACUUUUGACCUCGGAUCAGGUAGGGAUACCCGCUGAACUUAAGCAUAUCAAUAA
rnacentral:rRNA from 1 species